GGGGACCCUAAAAAUGCCUAACUCAGCAGCACAGCGAAAAUGGAGACCUCAGAGCCAGGGAAACUCACAGCAUGCCAAACUGAAGAAAUGACAUCUCGUGGACGGAACCCACAAGUUGGAAGAACCCGUGUCAAAGACAACGGUGAAAUUCUGAGGAGGCGUUCCCAAACCAAUAGUUCCAAAAUACUGGGUCUGGUGGCACAAGAGAACACAGGGUAAACGAAGAGCCGGUUAUUCUGCCGCAAGGGUGAAAAUGGGGGCACCGAGACUCACGUUCAUGAACUUGGAGAGAGGCACAAAGGAGGGGUUGCCACCAGAGGUGGAGGUCCUAGAAAGCUCUGCCAGCUGUUCCCAUCCAUUCAGUGGGUUUAAGAUUCUGUGUCCAAGGUGGAUUCGUUGAAGAGGGACACUAGAGAGAGAAAGAGACAAUUUGAACAGUGACAAACCAAUGCAUUCGGGAGACCCUCGUGUGACAGAUGCCCUCCGUAGGGCCUGAAGGUAAUGAUCCCCGAGUUCCUGUAGGAGCAGUCAUCCGUAAUGACUGCAGCUCCGUAAUGACCAGGAAGUGCUACUGAGGGCGGCUGCACAGCCCUACAGAAGAAAGGAUCCGUGUAUGGGCUCAAAGACCUGCCAGGAUCCACAUACCUUACGGAGGCAGAGGCCAGAUAUGUCUACAGAGCAAGUUCAAGAACCACUAAGGCUACACAGAGAAAACCUGUCUCAAACAACAAGCAAACAAACAAACCAACCAAAAAAGGUAUGUGUAAAAUAUCAAAAAUAAAUACAUAAAAUAUUUAAAUUAUACAUAUACAUUAUAUAUGUAUUUAUGUACAUAUAUGUUAACAAUUACAUUAAAUAUGUUAACAAUUUUUUUGAGGUUUAAAAAAAUUAUUUUGGGCUGGUGAGAUGGCUCAGUGGGUAAGAGCACCCGACUGCUCUUCCAAAGGUCCUGAGUUCAAAUCCCAGCAACCACAUGGUGGUUCACAACCAUCUGUAACGAGAUCUGACUCUCUCUUCUGGAGUGUCUGAAGACAGCUACAGUGUACUUACAUAUAAAUAAAUAAAUCUUUAAAAAAAAAAGGAAGUUAC
rnacentral:lncRNA from 1 species